rnacentral:rRNA from 1 species
UACGUAGGGGGCAAGCGUUGUCCGGAUUCAUUGGGCGUAAAGAGCUCGUAGGCGGUGUGUCGCGUCGGCCGUGAAAACCUGCAGCUUAACUGUGGGCGUGCGGUCGAUACGGGCAUCACUGGAGUUCGGCAGGGGAGACUGGAAUUCCUGGUGUAGCGGUGAAAUGCGCAGAUAUCAGGAGGAACACCGGUGGCGAAGGCGGGUCUCUGGGCCGAUACUGACGCUGAGGAGCGAAAGCGUGGGGAGCGAACAGG